rnacentral:rRNA from 1 species
GACGAACGCUGGCGGCGUGCUUAACACAUGCAAGUCGAACGGAAAGGCCCGGCGCUUGUGGGGUGCUCGAUUGGCGAACGGGUGAGUAACACGUGAGUAACCUGUCCUUGUCUGUGUGAUAACAUCAGGAGACAGGGGCGAAUACACGAGAGAAUCUCCUGCAGCGCAGGGUUGGAUGGAGAGAGUCGGCCGUGGGGGAUGGACUCGCGGGUUAUCAGCUGGUUGGUGGGGUAGUGGCUUACCAAGGCUUUGACGGGUAGCCGGCCUGAGAGGGUGACCGGCCACAUUGGGACUGAGGUACGGCCCAGACUCCUACGGGAGGCAGCAGUGGGGAAUAUUGCACGAUGGGCGGAAGCCUGAUGCAGCAACGCCGCGUGCGGGAUGACGGCCUUCGGGUUGUAAACCGCUUUCGCCUGUGACGAAGCGUGAGUGACGGUAAUGGGUAAAGAAGCACCGGCUAACUACGUG